rnacentral:rRNA from 1 species
ACGGAAGGCAGCAGUGGGGAAUAUUGCACAAUGGGCGAAAGCCUGAUGCAGCGACGCCGCGUGAGUGAAGAAGUAUUUCGGUAUGUAAAGCUCUAUCAGCAGGGAAGAAAAUGACGGUACCUGACUAAGAAGCACCGGCUAAAUACGUGCCAGCAGCCGCGGUAAUACGUAUGGUGCAAGCGUUAUCCGGAUUUACUGGGUGUAAAGGGAGCGUAGACGGCGAGGCAAGUCUGAAGUGAAAGCUCGGGGCUCAACCCCGGAACUGCUUUGGAAACUGUUUUGCUAGAGUGCAGGAGAGGCAAGUGGAAUUCCUAGUGUAGCGGUGAAAUGCGUAGAUAUUAGGAGGAACACCAGUGGCGAAGGCGGCUUGCUGGACUGUAACUGACGUUGAGGCUCGAAAGCAUGGGGAGCAAACAGGAUUAGAUACCCUGGUA